rnacentral:tRNA from 1 species
GGGCGGUUCGCAUUAGUGGCAAUUGCAGCAGACUGUAGAUCUGCCGCACCGGGAGGUGCUUCGGAGGUUCGAGUCCUCCACCGCUCA